rnacentral:piRNA from 1 species
UUUAUGGAUGUAAAUGUCUUU